UACGUAGGGGGCAAGCGUUGUCCGGAUUUAUUGGGCGUAAAGAGCGUGUAGGCGGUUUGGUAGGUCCGUUGUGAAAACUCGAGGCUCAACCUCGAGACGCCGGUGGAAACCAUCAGACUAGAGUCCGGAAGAGGAGAGUGGAAUUCCUGGUGUAGCGGUGAAAUGCGCAGAUAUGACACAGAACACCGAUUGCGAAGGCAGCUGACGAAACUGUAACUGACGCUGAGGCUCGAAAGCGUGGGGAUCAAACAGG
rnacentral:rRNA from 1 species